GCGGCUUAACACAUGCAGUCGAACGAAGUCUUCGGACUUAGUGGCAGACGGGUGAGUAACGCGUGGGAACGUGCCCAUCGGUUCGGAAUAACCAAGGGAAACUUUGGCUAAUACCGGAUACGCCCCUUGGGGGAAAGAUUUAUCGCCGAUGGAUCGGCCCGCGUCUGAUUAGCUAGUUGGUGGGGUAAUGGCUCACCAAGGCGACGAUCAGUAGCUGGUCUGAGAGGAUGAUCAGCCACACUGGGACUGAGACACGGCCCAGACUCCUACGGGAGGCAGCAGUGGGGAAUAUUGGACAAUGGGCGCAAGCCUGAUCCAGCCAUGCCGCGUGAGUGAUGAAGGCCUUAGGGUUGUAAAGCUCUUUUAUCCGGGACGAUAAUGACGGUACCGGAAGAAUAAGCCCCGGCUAACUUCGUGCCAGCAGCCGCGGUAAUACGAAGGGGGCUAGCGUUGCUCGGAAUCACUGGGCGUAAAGGGCGCGUAGGCGGACAUUUAAGUCGGGGGUGAAAGCCCGGGGCUCAACCCCGGAAUUGCCUCCGAUACUGGAUGUCUCGAGACCGGAAGAGGUAAGUGGAACUGCGAGUGUAGAGGUGAAAUUCGUAGAUAUUCGCAAGAACACCAGUGGCGAAGGCGGCUUACUGGUCCGGUUCUGACGCUGAGGCGCG
rnacentral:rRNA from 1 species